rnacentral:rRNA from 1 species
GACGAACGCUGGCGGCGUGCUUAACACAUGCAAGUCGAACGGCAAGGCCCUGCUUUUGUGGGGUGCUCGAGUGGCGAACGGGUGAGUAACACGUGAGUAACCUGCCCUUGACUUUGGGAUAACUUCAGGAAACUGGGGCUAAUACCGGAUAGGAGCUCCUGCUGCAUGGUGGGGGUUGGAAAGUUUCGGCGGUUGGGGAUGGACUCGCGGCUUAUCAGCUUGUUGGUGGGGUAGUGGCUUACCCAGGCUUUGACGGGUAGCCGGCCUGAGAGGGUGACCGGCGACAUGGGGACUGAGGUACGGACCAGAGUCGUACGGGAGACAGUAGUGGGGAACAUUGCACAGUGAGCGGAAGUCUGAGGCAACAACGCCGCGUGCGGAAUGACGGCCUUCUGGUUGUAAACCGCUGUCGCCUGUGACGAAGCGUGAGUGACGGUAAUGGGUAAAGAAGCACCGGCUAACUACGUG